CCCUUAGAGUUUGAUCCUGGCUCAGGAUGAACGCUAGCUACAGGCUUAACACAUGCAAGUCGAGGGGCAUCAGUUUGGUUUGCUUGCAAACCAAAGCUGGCGACCGGCGCACGGGUGAGUAACACGUAUCCAACCUGCCUCAUACUCGGGGAUAGCCUUUCGAAAGAAAGAUUAAUAUCCGAUAGCAUAUAUUUCCCGCAUGGGUUUUAUAUUAAAGAAAUUCGGUAUGAGAUGGGGAUGCGUUCCAUUAGUUUGUUGGCGGGGUAACGGCCCACCAAGACUACGAUGGAUAGGGGUUCUGAGAGGAAGGUCCCCCACAUUGGAACUGAGACACGGUCCAAACUCCUACGGGAGGCAGCAGUGAGGAAUAUUGGUCAAUGGACGCGAGUCUGAACCAGCCAAGUAGCGUGAAGGAUGACUGCCCUAUGGGUUGUAAACUUCUUUUAUAUGGGAAUAAAGUGGUCCACGUGUGGAU
rnacentral:rRNA from 1 species